GGGGAAUAACACCAUCUCACUCGCUGAGAAAUAUCCAGAGCCCGGGAGAUAUUUCAAAUUGGGGGAACAAAUUGGAGAGGACCCCAACGGAGUGAUUUACAAUGGAUGGCACCGAAGCAGACGAAUGGAGGUGGCCAUUGUAAUCAUACAAGAUCAAGAGG